ACAUCGGAACGUGCCCAGUAAUGGGGGAUAGCCCGGCGAAAGCCGGAUUAAUACCGCAUACGCCCUGAGGGGGAAAGUGGGGGACCGCAAGGCCUCACGUUAUUGGAGCGGCCGAUGGCUGAUUAGCUAGUUGGUGGGGUAAAGGCCUACCAAGGCGACGAUCAGUAGCUGGUCUGAGAGGACGAUCAGCCACACUGGGACUGAGACACGGCCCAGACUCCUACGGGAGGCAGCAGUGGGGAAUUUUGGACAAUGGGCGAAAGCCUGAUCCAGCAAUGCCGCGUGUGCGAAGAAGGCCUUCGGGUUGUAAAGCACUUUUGUUCGGGAAGAAAACGUCUGUGUUAAUACCACGGGCGGAUGACGGUACCGGAAGAAUAAGCACCGGCUAACUACGUGCCAGCAGCCGCGGUAAUACGUAGGGUGCGAGCGUUAAUCGGAAUUACUGGGCGUAAAGCGUGCGCAGGCGGCCAUGUAAGACAGGUGUGAAAUCCCCGAGCUUAACUUGGGAAUUGCAUUUGUGACUGCAUGGCUAGAGUGUGUCAGAGGGAGGUGGAAUUCCACGUGUAGCAGUGAAAUGCGUAGAUAUGUGGAGGAACACCAAUGGCGAAGGCAGCCUCCUGGGAUAACAC
rnacentral:rRNA from 1 species